rnacentral:lncRNA from 1 species
GGCGAGGAGGGAGCCGGCGGCGGGCGCGCGCGGCCCCGCGGCCUCGGGCGCGCGCAGGCGUGCCGGGCGCGCGCAGGCGCUGGCGUGCUGGGGCCGCGGCGGCGGCGGCGGCGGCGGCGGCGACGGCGGCGGAGACGGCGGCGGCGGCGGCGGCGGCGGCGCGGGGGUUGAGCCGUGGUAGUGCGGACGCGCUCGUGCUCGGGAACUAUCGGAUUAAACUUGAAUCGAGUGCAAUUACACAAAGGAGCGCCGCUGAGGAGGCGGCCCGGGGACCCGGAGACCCUGAAACUCGUCAGAGCCGCGUUCGCCCCCGGCCAACUCCGCGCCCGAGGACUCAGCCCCCUGGCCGCGGCCGCCGAGCCAACUCCGGAGCCCGCUCUGCGUUUUGUUUCCCCCUCGGCACAGGGCAGCGGAGGAGCCCGCCCGCCCGCCCGACCCGCACUACCGUAGACAGACAGAACACCUGCUGGUUCAGGCUGCUUCCCUGCAUUUGUAAAGGGUGGGAACCCCGCCUUCACAGCCUGCUUCCCGGGACUGUGUGUGCUGCGGCGUGAGGUGGGAUGCUCUAGGAUGCGGUGCUUGCCGACAUCCGCCUGGCCUCCGGAGCCUCCAUCACGCUGCCGUCUGACGUGGAAGCUGGGGAUGCUCUUUGACAACCGCCCCCCACCAACUCAACACUGCAUCAUAUUCGUCCUCGGAGCCUGUUGGCUCCACCUUCAGACUAUGGGCAGAGUCCGACACCUUCUGUCUCUGCUUGUGCCAUCCGCCCACGUGGCCGUUUUUCCUGCUGGAGUUCCUGCAGCGGCUCCCUGACUGGUCCCCCCACCCGCCCGCCGCCUUCAGACUGUUUCCUCGGUCCCUGCGCCCUCUGCCCAGCGCCCCCCAGACCCUUGGUUCCAGGCCUUCAGAGUCCUCUUCCUGAGAAGCUGCCCCCCCCACCUCCACUUUAAAAUCUUACCCCUCCCUCCAAAUUGCCUGUCUUCCUUCCGUGCUGCGGUUUUUCUCUCAUUUUACCUUUUACUUAUUGUAAUGGUAUUUUACGUCCUGACUCUGACCCUGUCCUCACUAGACGGCAGUUGAGCUCCACGAAGGAGGGAGUUGCUGCCUGUGACGUUUACUGCCGCCUCCCCAGUGCCUGGAGCAGCCUUCGGCCUGUGGCAGGUGCUGUGGAAACAGUUCUGCGUAAGAGUCC